UGGGGAAUAUUGCACAAUGGGCGCAAGCCUGAUGCAGCGACGCCGCGUGAGGGAUGACGGCCUUCGGGUUGUAAACCUCUUUCAAUAGGGACGAAGCGCAAGUGACGGUACCUAUAGAAGAAGGACCGGCCAACUACGUGCCAGCAGCCGCGGUAAUACGUAGGGUCCGAGCGUUGUCCGGAAUUACUGGGCGUAAAGAGCUCGUAGGUGGUUUGUCGCGUUGUUCGUGAAAACUCACAGCUUAACUGUGGGCGUGCGGGCGAUACGGGCAGACUAGAGUACUGCAGGGGAGACUGGAAUUCCUGGUGUAGCGGUGGAAUGCGCAGAUAUCAGGAGGAACACCGGUGGCGAAGGCGGGUCUCUGGGCAGUAACUGACGCUGAGGAGCGAAAGCGUGGGGAGCGAACAGGAUUAGAUACCCUGGUAGUCCACGCCGUAAACGGUGGGUACUAGGUGUGGGUUUCCUUCCUUGGGAUCCGUGCCGUAGCUAACGCAUUAAGUACCCCGCCUGGGGAGUACGGCCGCAAGGCU
rnacentral:rRNA from 1 species